rnacentral:rRNA from 1 species
CAGUAGCCGCGGGAACACGCAGGUGGCAAGCGUUGUCCGGAAUUAUUGGGCGUAAAGCGCGCGCAGGCGGAUCAGUUAGUCUGUCUUAAAAGUUCGGGGCUUAACCCCGUGAUGGGAUGGAAACUGCUGAUCUAGAGUAUCGGAGAGGAAAGUGGAAUUCCUAGUGUAGCGGCGAAAUGCGUAGAUAUUAGGAAGAACACCAGUGGCGAAGGCGACUUUCUGGACGAAAACUGACGCUGAGGCGCGAAAGCCAGGGGAGCGAACGGGAUUAGAUACCCGAGUAGUCCCUGUCUCUUAUACA